rnacentral:rRNA from 1 species
UACGUAGGAUGCAAGCGUUGUCCGGAUUUACUGGGCGUAAAGCGCGCGCAGGCGGCUCUUUAAGUAUGGCGUGAAAUCUCCCUGCUCAACGGGGGAGGGUGCGUUGUAGACUGAGGAGCUUGAGGUCGGUAGAGGGGGGUGGAAUUGCUGGUGUAGCGGUGAAAUUGCGUAGAGAUCAGCAGGAACACCCGUGGCGAAGGCGGCCCCCUGGGCCGUACCUGACGCUGAGGCUGGCGAAGGCUAGGGGAGCCGACCCGG